rnacentral:rRNA from 1 species
UGCAGUCGAACGGUCUCGAUUUAUCGGGAUAGUGGCGAACGGGUGAGUAACACGUAAGUAACCUACCCUUAAGUAGGGGAUAACCCUGAGAAAUUGGGGCUAAUACCUUAUGUGGUGAUGGGGCUAAUGCUGUAUCACUAAAGCCUUAGGGUGCUUGAGGAUGGGCUUGCGUCCGAUUAGCUAGUUGGUAGGGUAAUGGUUUACCAAGGCGAUGAUCGGUAGCUGGUUUGAGAGGAUGGUCAGCCACACUGGGAUUGAGAUACGGCCCAGACUCCUACGGGAGGCAGCAGCAAGGAAUAUUGUGCAAUGGGCGAAAGCCUGACACAGCGACGCCGCGUGGGGGAAGACGGCCUUCGGGUCGUAAACCCCUUUUCUCAGGGAAGAAUAAUGACGGUACCUGAGGAAUAAGUCACGGCUAACUACGUGCCAGCAGCCGCGGUAAUACGUAGGUGGCAAGCGUUAUCCGGAUUUACUGGGUGUAAAGAGGGCGCGGGCGGCUUUUCAAGUCGAAUAUAAAAUCUCCCGGCUUAACUGGGAGGGAUUAUUCGAUACUGUUGGGCUAGAGAGCAGCAGGGGGAGGUGGAAUUCCCGGUGUAGUGGUGAAAUGCGUAGAUAUCGGGAGGAACACCUGUGGCGAAGGCGGCUCUCUGGCCUGUUACUGACGCUGAGGCGCGAAAGCUGGGGGAGCGAACGGGAUUAGAUACCCCGGUAGUCCCAGCCGUAAAUGGUGGACACUAGGUGUAGGCUCUUAUGGGUCUGUGCCGUAGUUAACGCAUUAAGUGUCCCGCCUGGGGAGUACGGCCGCAAGGCUGAAACUCAAAAGAAUUGACGGGGGCCCGCACAAGCGGUGGAGCAUGUGGCUCAAUUCGACGCAACGCGAAGAACCUUAUCCUGGGUUUGACAUUCCGCAGUGUAGUCCCUCUGAAAGGGGGGGUGACCGUUAAACCGGAGUGCGGAACAGGUGCUGCAUGGCUGUCGUCAGCUCGUGUCGUGAGAUGUUGGGUUAAGUCCCGCAACGAGCGCAACCCCUGUCUUUAGUUGCCAUCCCGAGUUUAUCGAGGGAGGAUUCUGAAGAAACUGCCCCGGAUAACGGGGAGGAAGGUGGGGACGACGUCAAGUCCUCAUGGCCCUUAUGCCCAGGGCUGCACACGUGCUACAAUGGCCAGGACAAAGGGUUGCAAGACCGUGAGGUGGAGCUAAUCCCUUAAAACUGGUCCCAGUUCGGAUCGAAGGCUGCAACUCGCCUUCGUGAAGUUGGAAUCGCUAGUAAUCGCGGAUCAGCACGCCGCGGUGAAUACGUUCCCGGGCCUUGUACNACACCGCCUGUCACACCACGAAAGUCCGCUGUACCCAAAGUUGCUUU